GGUAGAGAGAGCAGCAAGCUCACCUCUAUCCUGCAUAGAAACUUCUGGACUCAUAACUCUGAACUUGGGAUUUUGUGCGUGCGCAAAAACCACUACCAUUCCUAUUCCCAUUUCUAUUCAAUGUCUGUGUUGUAUGUCAAUAAAGUAUCCCUGUGUGUAACUCUGUGAGGUUGCCUCAUUCCCCUUUGACCGGGGGAGGUACUAGCGGGUCACAGAUCAGCCCAAUCAGAGAGUCGUACUCUUUCAUGGUCCUUUUUAUCGCCGGAUUUGUGACUUUCCUGACACCACUACGCUAUGGCGGUCUACAGAAUGCGCACAGGGUGCUUUCCACACUGCCCACCUGCGGUCCAGUGGAGAAUGGCUCUGGGGUAUGCAGUGGAUUACCACUGCUUGGAUUAUGCCCCCUCUCUGGAGCCUAUGGGAACCCCACGCCUGCCGACGGCGCAGCAUGGACUAUAUGGCUCCACUCCUCCACUACAUGGACUACAGGCAUCAGACAUUGUGUGGUUGAUGCAGGGGUUAUUCCCGUCGUUCCUGCAUCAGCAAUACCCUGAGUGGCUGGACUAUUUUAUCCUGGGAAUACAAAAGGCAUUGGAGGAGCCAGUGGCAACCCGCAGAGAGGUUCUGCAGCCACUCAGGCGUUACAUUGCAGAGCAGCAUGCUCUUCCACCUCGCACAGUUUCACAGGUGGCCCUGCAGGUCUACUGCUAGCCUGCAGUCCAGUGUUCACCUGUGUGGGAGCCAUCUCAGCCAGCACCAGUACUAGCUCCUCUGCAACGGUCCCUGUUGGCAGCACCCAAGCCAGUCCAACGACCCCUGGGACUACAGCCAGUCCGGUCGCCGUCGGUGCUCCAGCCAACACCCCAGCCACUGAGAGAGAUGGUACUCCAGCCGCCAACUCCACCAGAAGCCCAGCCUGUCCGGGGGCCACGAGUGCCCUCACCAGAUCAUCACCAGCCAAAGCUACCCAGUGAACCUUCUUCAGCAACCGCUAUCACAAGCUGCUGACAGCACAGCUUCACCUGAUCCAGCCACAGCUCAAUGUACAAUGUAAUUACAAGGUGUUACACAGGAUUUAGCUAGUUAAAAUGAAAUGUAUCUUGAGGAGCACUUACUUGUAAUUAAUGUGUACUUAUAUACAACUUUAUUGCAACAUCUAAAAAUACCUUACAUUUAUUACAAAAUAAUAAGGAUUUUUAUUGUUAAUAAAUUGAUUAAUUACAUUAAAUAAAGAUAUAGGCCUACUCAAUAACAUAAAGCCUACAGUAUGGUGAGUAGCCUAGAUCAGUGGAUCCCAAACUGUGGGUUGGGACCCACUUGUGAGUUGCGGCAGGGGUCCACGUGGGUCUUGGGAUGAUUUUUUGGAAUGGAAAAAUGCUUUCAGUGUGAACUUAAUAUAUUUUUUUAAAUAAUAGCCUAUAAUCUUUGAGAAUUUACAAUCAACUAAAUAAAAGCUAGACAAUCAA